GGCUUAACACAUGCAAGUCGAGGGGUAUUGGUUUUCGGACCAAGAGACCGGCGCACGGGUGCGUAACGCGUAUGCAAUCUACCUUUUGCAGAGGGAUAGCCCAGAGAAAUUUGGAUUAAUACCUCAUAGUAUCUCGUCGUCGCAUGGCGACGAGAUUAAAGUCACAACGGCAAAAGAUGAGCAUGCGUCCCAUUAGCUAGAUGGUAAGGUAACGGCUUACCAUGGCUACGAUGGGUAGGGGUCCUGAGAGGGAGAUCCCCCACACUGGUACUGAGACACGGACCAGACUCCUACGGGAGGCAGCAGUGAGGAAUAUUGGUCAAUGGACGCAAGUCUGAACCAGCCAUGCCGCGUGCAGGAUGACGGUCCUAUGGAUUGUAAACUGC
rnacentral:rRNA from 1 species